rnacentral:misc_RNA from 1 species
ACGAAUGGCUAGUUUCCGCUUGAUUUGACAAGCGUGCAAUGCGUGGCCCAGUGGUGUCGUUUUGUCGACGCUUCUUGGCCGAUACAAGGGCACGCUAUUGCGCCCGAGGCACGGCAGAGAGGUCAAGUACGUGACAGUCGCAACGGCAAGACGCUCUUUACAAGCCACAGCGUUCCUUGCAACUGUCUUCUGCAGCGCAUUACAGAUCAACAAGGAAGGGCUCCUCUCACACAACGACCCUGACGCGAAGGGCUCACGCCAGACAGAUGUGAAGAAUGAGUUCCUCCAGCAAGGCACAUUUGUAUCUUCUGCGACGCCAACUAGGAAACACGAGGGAAUGCCGCCCCCGGAAAGAAUUCCUGCGGAUCUGUUGGAUUGGCCAAGACGACGCGGAGGCCUUGAGUAGGAGAGAACGCGAGUACCUUCAAAACCACUGCAGCUACAUUGAUUGGCUGCUGAACGUCAGUGGCGUGACUCAUCUAAACGAGCCGCGAGCGUCCACUCCGGAAAGCUGCAGUGACCUCCAAGAAGACAGCGCUUGCACUUGCCCCUCGCCUUCCAUCGACACCUCCGUCCUGGCGCACGACACGUCCCUCAAAACGACUUCGCUGUGCUCCUCGAUGCAGUUGGAAGCACACGCGGUGCUUUCGCAAAGCCCGACACCAUGGAAGUCCGGUCGCACGCCGUCGCCCGUGGAUGCACCGCGGAGGUGUCGUGGAUUUAUCAAGACAGGCAGCGAAAGCGCGCGCUUGACGUCUAGGCCCUGGAAUCCGUCUCCGAUGCUCUGGUACUAUAUCUGGGAACAGCGCAGCAACCGCGCUGCGUUACACCUGUCGCCAUGUCGUGUGCAGCAAUGGCUGCAAGACCACGCGAAACUUCGCGAUCUAGCAAGCGCCAUCGGUGGAGUCGAACUGGUGUUAGGAUAAUACUUUCAGUGAACUAUGACGCACUGUUUUGGACACUGAACUGCCCUCCGAACUCACUGAUCAUCUUUUAAAUAUGUCUCCUCCAUAAUAAACCACUCAUAGAGCAA